rnacentral:rRNA from 1 species
GCCCUAGUAACGGCGAGUGAAGCGGCUACAGCUCAAAUUUGAAAUCUGGCCCUCUUUGGGGGUCCGAGUUGUAAUUUGCAGAGGAUGCUUUGGCAUUGGCGGCGGUCUAAGUUCCCUGGAACAGGACAUCGCAGAGGGUGAGAAUCCCGUACGUGGGCGCCUGCCUUUGCCGUGUAAAGCUCCUUCGACGAGUCGAGUUGUUUGGGAAUGCAGCUCUAAAUGGGAGGUAAAUUUCUCCUAAAGCUAAAUACCGGCCAGAGACCGAUAGCGCACAAGUAGAGUGAUCGAAAGAUGAAAAGUACUUUGGAAAGAGAGUCAAAUAGCACGUGAAAUUGUUGAAAGGGAAGCGCUUGCAGCCAGACUUGCCCGCAGUUGCUCACCCAGGCUCUCGCCUGGGGCACUCUUCUGCGAGCAGGCCAGCAUCAGUUUGGGCGGUCGGACAAAGGCCUCUGUCAUGUACCACCCUCCGGGGUGGCCUUAUAGGGGAGGCGUAAUGCGACCAGCCUGGACUGAGGUCCGCGCAUCUGCUAGGAUGCUGGCGUAAUGGCUGUAAGCGGCCCGUCUUGAAACACGGACCAAGGAGUCUAACAUCUAUGCGAGUGUUUGGGUGUCAAGCCCGGGCGCGUAAUGAAAGUGAACGGAGGUGGGAACCCCUCGGGGUGCACCAUCGACCGAUCCUGAUGUCUUCGGAUGGAUUUGAGUAAGAGCAUAGCUGUUGGGACCCGAAAGAUGGUGAACUAUGCUUGAAUAGGGUGAAGCCAGAGGAAACUCUGGUGGAGGCUCGCAGCGGUUCUGACGUGCAAAUCGAUCGUCAAAUUUGGGCAUAGGGGCGA